UACGAAGGGUGCAAGCGCUACUCGGAAUUACUGGGCGUAAAGCGUGCGUAGGUGGUGAGUUAAGUCUGUCGUGAAAGCCCCGGGCUUAACCUGGGAAUGGCCAUGGAAACUGGCGAACUGGAGUGUGGCAGAGGGGGGUGGAAUUCCGCGUGUAGCAGUGAAAUGCGUAGAGAUGCGGAGGAACACCGAUGGCGAAGGCAGCCCCCUGGGCUAGUACUGACGCUCAUGCACGAAAGCGUGGGGAGCAAACAGG
rnacentral:rRNA from 1 species